UAUUAACUUAUUAUUCAUGUCAAUUAACUUAUGAUCAUAAGAUAUUAAAAAUAUAUUUUUUUAAACUAAUAAGAGAGGUGGAUUUAGACAUGUUAAAUAUUUUAUUUUUAAUUCAAAUUCCAUACAGUGUGAUGGCAAGAUUUGCUUUAAGUUUAACAUUAAAAGCGUUGUUUCAAAGUUUUGGAAAUCUGUUAAAAAAUUUUUCUAGGAGUAGUUAGUUAGUUUCAACAUCAAUAGGUUUCUAAUGUUAACUAGACAAGUCCAAUUCACUCCGAUUGCAUUAUUGCAUGCCAUGGACCAUGAUCAUACCAACUUUACCUGUAGCUUGUUGGUAGGUGUGUCCGUAGAUGUAUUUGAGGGUUUGUUGUCUUAAGUAUAGUUUUAAUGCCACCCUUAUCUAUUUUCCCCCUCCUGUUAAAAAAUAAUGUAUUAUUGAUAAUUAUUUAGUUCAAAAAGUUUUCAACUACUGACAAACACUCGAUAAUUUUUAUAAAAGUACAUUUGAAGUUUAUAGGUUUCAGAUAUCAUAAAAUGAUUGUUCAUGUUAGGAACUUUAAAUACCUUUAUAAAAACAAGUGUAUUUUUAAUGGUUCAUUUUAAUAAAGUUGAAUCACUUUGUUUUUUUUAAUAUUAAAAAAUAUGGGCAAGAGUAGGUACCUCUCUGCUGUACGGUAGAUAAUCACUAAGUAUUUCAUAUUUUGUUUUUUGAUAUUGCUAACAGGUAAAGUAAUUUAUUUAAAUAUUAGUAAUGAAGUAGCUUAAAUUAAUUUUUACCAAAACUAUUGCAUUUAAAAAUAUAAUUUUGUGUAUAAAAUGUAUUAAUAUAUUAUACAUAAAAGUUUCAUGUCUCCACGAAUAAUGAUUUGAACUUUGACAAAUAUUGUUGUUGUUUAUUAUGCCUAAUAGGACCUUGCUCGUUAGGUUAGCAUAUUAUGUGUUGGAUGCAUAUUUGCUAGAAAAACUUCAGACCUUACUCAAAUAUUUUGAGGAUAUUUAUGUGGAAAGAUUAAAUUAAAAUGAAUAUGGACAAAGUAUAUUUUCACUAUAAAUUUAGAGUUUAAAUUAAUGAGUUUUAAAUGGUAACAAUAUAGGUACACAUAACAAAUAAUCAUUCAGAGGUUGCCAACCAAAGAAUAUAUGUUGAAAUGGAAAUGGUCUAUUCUACAUUAUAUUCAUUCAUAACGUGCUUAAAUGCUUAAAAAAGAUUCAAGUUGAAAGGGAUACAUAUUAUUUAUUUAAAUUUAAUUCAGUGCCAUUGCAAAAUUGCUCGCAGAGUAAAAAAAAACUUACGAAAUGUAUAAAAUAAACAAGGUUUGCUAAUAAAAAAUGUCCGUUUAGUCUAUGUAUCCCGCGACCCGCAAGUAUUUGAAUUGCACAUUAUUCACACAUUUGACGGACCUACCAUAGAUGCACUGUGACAAUAAAUUUAACGACAUAUUCGCAGAUAUGUACCUAUAAUGAAAAUAAAAAUCCGAAACAUCUCCUUACAAACGUGCCCGAUAUGGUACAACUAAGCUACGUAUUGUACCGCUGCGAACUAAUUUGCACUUAGUCUAGACCCGUAAUAGCCGCUGCCCACGUUGAAUCAAUAAACGAUCGUUGCAGAUGUUUAAUACCUACAAAAAUUGGUUUACGUUUCAGAUACAUAAUAAUAUAAUGUCACGAUAUGUGUUCAUUGUCGCAAAUUGCAACUUACGACGUCAAAUUUCAACCAUUGCGGUAAUAUUGUAAUACCUACACUCAGACACUCGUGCGCACUAAGUACAUACGGCGACAUUGUACGAUUUUAUUAUAUUAUUAUAAAGUACGUACCUAUAUAAUUAUAUAUAAUUACCAGAUCACAAUAUGACAAAACAAGUAACAACAUCAAUAACUUAAUGACGUUUAAUGCGCUUAUGCGUUUGGGUAAGUUUGUACUGUAUUGUAUACGCUUUUAUAUAGAUCGACGGAGAUCAUGUUAUUAUAAUUAUUACAUUAUUACAAUUCAAUCUACAUUAUACGAGUAUAUACCUUGUACAGAUUGUUAUAAAUAUUUAAUAAUAUUAUUAUACCGCCGAUACGCGUGCAUAAAUUACGUUUUGUUAAUUAAUAUCGAGAUUUUGAAUUGCCACGAGACGUCGUCGAUAUUUUGAACGAUUAUAC